GACGUAGGGUGCGAGCGUUAAUCGGAAUUACUGGGCGUAAAGCGUGCGCAGGCGGCUUUGUAAGACAGGUGUGAAAUCCCCGGGCUUAACCUGGGAACUGCGCUUGUGACUGCAAGGCUCGAGUGCGGCAGAGGGGGGUGGAAUUCCACGUGUAGCAGUGAAAUGCGUAGAGAUGUGGAGGAACACCGAUGGCGAAGGCAGCCCCCUGGGUCGACACUGACGCUCAUGCACGAAAGCGUGGGUAGCAAACAGG
rnacentral:rRNA from 1 species